rnacentral:rRNA from 1 species
CCAAGGCUUUGAUCGUUAGCUGGUUUGAGAGGAUGGCCAGCCACACUGGAACUGAGACACGGUCCAGACUCCUACGGGAGGCAGCAGUGGGGAAUCUUGCACAAUGGGCGAAAGCCUGAUGCAGCGACGCCGCGUGGGGGAUGAAGCAUCUCGGUGUGUAAACCCCUUUCGACCCGGAAGAAUGCCUCGCAAGAGGACUGACGGUACGGGUAUAAGAAGCCCCGGCUAACUACGUGCCAGCAGCCGCGGUAAGACGUAGGGGGCCAGCGUUGUUCGGAAUUACUGGGUGUAAAGGGUUCGUAGGCGGUGUGGCAAGUUGGGAGUGAAAUCUCUGGGCUCAACCCAGAGGCUGCUUCCAAAACUGCUGUGCUUGAGUGUGGGAGAGGCGCGUGGAAUUGCAGGUGUAGCGGUGAAAUGCGUAGAUAUCUGCAGGAACACCCGUGGCGAAAGCGGCGCGCUGGACCACUACUGACGCUGAGGAACGAAAGCUAGGGGAGCAAACAGGAUUAGAUACCCUGGUAGUCCUAGCCCUAAACGAUCAGGACUUGGGGUGCCGCCCGUUCGGGCGUCGUCCCGGAGCUAACGCGUUAAGUCCUGCACCUGGGGAGUACGGUCGCAAGACUGAAACUCAAAGGAAUUGACG